rnacentral:lncRNA from 1 species
UUGAGACUAGUUUUUAAAGCCAAUGUAGGAUCAUCCAACAUGUCAAACAGACUACUGAAUGUGUCAAUUCAAAGGUUGAUAUUUUAAUCUAUGUUUCACGCUAAACAGCUGAUUACCCAUUGUCGAUUAAAAAGUUCUCAAACUUUGAAUAAACUUGAACUAAACUAGAGCAACACUAAAUAGCUACAAUAAUACAAACUGAAACAAAGUAAUUUAUACAGUCCAACACAGUCCAAUUUAAGUACAGUGAAUACAAAUCCAAAUUAAACUUCAUUAAACAAAUGCUCAUCACUCAACACAUAUUCAACUAUGGUUACAUAGGGACUCAAUCGAGCAACACAGCAGGAAGCCAACUUAUGAUGCUUCAUUUUGGUCCGAAUUCAAAAGCUACAUUGAGGCGAAUUGGAGAUGUAUACCUAGUAUUAUAGUGAAAUGGAAAAGGAGAAGAGGGCAAACAGUAUCAUAGCAGCUCAGCACAGAAAAUAAGAGGCUUAAAAACUCAGACAGUAAUGUCCAAACAACCAACACCAAAUUCAACAAAUUAAAUACCAAAAUAGUUUCAAAUACACCCAAAUUGGCUCAGAUUUGAACCCCAGGACACUUCUGUAACUUCAUCCACUGAAAGAUGAGCUAAGAGAUAAAAAUUGAUGCCUAGAACUUAAAAUCGACCUAGAGAAUUCAAUGUAACAGUGUUACAACACUGAGAGUUCAGAUUUUUUAUCUUCUUUGGAUUUGAAAUUCAAAUUUAAUAGUAGAACUUGCAGAAAAUGUUUUUGGGAAUUUUAGGAGGCUAGAAAUUUUGGGAUAUUUUUCAGGGAUUUCUAAACUUGUGAAAGAAGGCAAUGUCAUGCCUUUUUAUAGGCUAAGCUUAGGGCGGACUUCAUAUUUUUGUUUUACCUAUUAGUCCCUCUCUUAUUUUGCAGCUUUACUCAGUUAGUCCCUAACUGACUGACUUGUGCCUAAAGUCUUAACACCAAAUUAUUGAAAUUCUAUUUUGAACCCCCAACUAGAAGGUUCCAAGGGUUUACUGCAGGAUCCCUAUCAUCCCAAAAGCUUAGAGUUCGGUUUUUUUAUUCUAAAUUACUAACCUUGUUAAACUAACCCCCCAACCUUAUUACCUUGGUCCAAAGGUGACCAUAGUUAAUCAAUUGAAGCACUCAGCUAUAUCCAAAAUAAUUAAACUAGAGGCAUUAGCCACUGAACUAAUCAAUUAAAAAUGGAAAUAUACUCAAAUUAAUACUAAUAUCCUAGGGUUAACCUAAAUUGUGAACUGAUGACCCAUAGCAAAACAAGUAGGUUUAAAGCUAACAUUCAAAUUAAUGUCAUAUAACAAAGCAACAAUUAUGGAUUGAAAUCAAACAAGGAAUUGAAUCAACAAAAUAUUUAAAAUGAAAUCCACAGCAUGCAAAUCAAACCAAAAAAAAAACUAGCAUAAUGGAAAUCGGCUAAAACCCUAAGUUUUCUAGAUCAAUUGACAUGAAGAAGAAUUAAUUUAAUUAGAUGAGACCCUGUUGACUUAGAACGGACAAUCAGAAAACCUAAACUAAAUCCCAGGACCCUAAAGUUAAAUGUCCAAACUCUUGUUAUCUAUUUGUGAAAUUCAAAACCAAAUAAACGGAGAAAUAAGAACAGAUAGGAAUGACCUUAAUCACUAAAUAUAAUGAAAGAACAGCCAAAUUAACUAACUCAUGAAGCAGAAGAAGUCAGAAGAAAGGAAUUAACACAACAAAAAACAAAAAAAAAUAAGAAACUCACUGAUGUGCUUUAAAAUGAUGAUGUUUCUUUGAUUUGAGAUUCAAGCGUUUCCGGCAGGACUUGAAGGCUACUGAUGGUGGGUCUGGUACGAGGGAAGCGGAGAGGUUGCAUGGUGUAACUUUGGUUGAGUUUGGAUGAAGCACCGUAUUGGUCCAGAAUUUUGAUUUGAAUUUCGAAGGCAUUGGCUAAGAUUUGAGGGGAGAUAAGGUUGGAUAUGGGUUGGGGAGAUGAAGACGGGGCUAGGGUGUAAAAUUGGGGUUAUUUGGACAGUGGCAACGCCGUGGGCAGCAGAGGCGGCGUCACAGUUUUGCAUAUUUGAAGGGCUGCACUAGGAUUCGAAGGCUGGUGUUUUGGGCAUUGGAAAGAGGAGGAGGU